rnacentral:lncRNA from 1 species
GCUUCUGAAUGGUGAAGAGGAGGAGGAAGAAUUCCUGAGAGGGAAAGGCCAGCUUAGAGUCAAACACACUCAGAACAAAGGGAAGGAGAGAAUUGGCUCUUGAGAAACAGCGGUGAGUGGGCAGAGGAUGAGGCCAGAGCGGCUGGUGGGGCCUGACUGUGAAGGGCAGAUGAGGAUUUUCGGCCACAUCCUGUAGGCCACAGUGAGCCGUGUACUAAGAAUGGCAGCAGAAUGCUCCGUCACUAUAUGCAGAAACAAGACAACUUGAAGCUAAAUGGAAGCCCUGCAGAGUCAACAGGUCCAGAUUCACAGUGCACGCCCUGAGCUACAGCCCCUCCAAAAGGCAUCUUCCCCCAGAGCCUCAAUGCCAAGCAAGGAGCCGUCAAGAGUCUGCCUUGGUUGUUUUGUUCUUUUUACAAACCGUACAGAUAUACAAUUGAUAACUCAGGAUUUCUAGUCAAUAACCAGAUAGUUAACACCACCUUAUUAAAAAAAAAAAAGCCAGAAACAUCUUUAAAUGCCUUGUCACUCCAAUAGCAAAGCGCACAGAAUGAGAACACAAGAGUGCCUUUUCAUUUUAAAAAUGUUUGGAAAUAUGUACAACUUUGAUAGCAUUUCAGAGUGCACCAGACACCACUGCCGCUUCAUGUAUACCACUGACAAUUUCUAGAGCACUUUGAGAGGCUACAAUA